GAUGAACGCUGACAGAAUGCUUAACACAUGCAAGUCUACUUGAACUUCGGUUUGGGUGGCGGACGGGUGAGUAACGCGUAAAGAACUUGCCUCACAGAUAGGGACAACAUUUGGAAACGAAUGCUAAUACCUGAUAUUAUGAUUUUAGGGCAUCCUAGAAUUAUGAAAGCUAUAUGCACUGUGAGAGAGCUUUGCGUCCCAUUAGCUAGUUGGAGAGGUAACGGCUCACCAAGGCGAUGAUGGGUAGCCGGCCUGAGUGGGUGAUCGGCCACAAGGGGACUGAGACACGGCCCUUACUCCUACGGGAGGCAGCAGUGGGGAAUAUUGGACAAUGGACCAAGAGUCUGAUCCAGCAAUUCUGUGUGCACGAUGAAGUUUUUCGGAAUGUAAAGUGCUUUCAGUUGGGAAGAAAAAAAUGACGGUACCAACAGAAGAAGUGACGGCUAAAUACGUG
rnacentral:rRNA from 1 species